GACUUCGUGGCGCAAAGAUAGUGCAUCUGAUUUCAGACCAGAAGGUUGCGUGUUCAAAUCACGUCGAGGUCA